CUCUUAUCCAGAGCGGCGGAGGGACUGGCCCUGCGAAGCCCGGCAACCUGCUUACCCUUUGGGGAGCGUGGUGCCAAAACCUGCAACCGAAAGGUUGAAUGAUGAGAG
rnacentral:ncRNA from 27 species